rnacentral:rRNA from 1 species
UACGUAGGGGGCAAGCGUUGUCCGGAUUUAUUGGGCGUAAAGAGCGUGUAGGCGGUUUGGUAGGUCCGUUGUGAAAACUCGAGGCUCAACCUCGAGACGCCGGCGGAAACCAUCAGGCUAGAGUCCGGAAGAGGAGAGUGGAAUUCCUGGUGUAGCGGUGAAAUGCGCAGAUAUCAGGAGGAACACCGGUGGCGAAGGCGGGUCUCUGGGCCGUAACUGACGCUGAGACGCGAAAGCGUGGGGAGCGAACAGG